rnacentral:rRNA from 1 species
GGCACUACGGUGCUGAAGCAACAAAUGCCCUGCUUCCAGGAAAAGCCUCUAAGCAUCAGGUAACAUCAAAUCGUACCCCAAACCGACACAGGUGGUCAGGUAGAGAAUACCAAGGCGCUUGAGAGAACUCGGGUGAAGGAACUAGGCAAAAUGGUGCCGUAACUUCGGGAGAAGGCACGCUGAUAUGUAGGUGAAGCGACUUGCUCGUGGAGCUGAAAUCAGUCGAAGAUACCAGCUGGCUGCAACUGUUUAUUAAAAACACAGCACUGUGCAAACACGAAAGUGGACGUAUACGGUGUGACGCCUGCCCGGUGC